rnacentral:rRNA from 1 species
GGCGAACGCUGGCGGCGUGCCUAAUACAUGCAAGUUGAGCGAUGAAGAUUGGUGCUUGCACCAAUUUGAAGAGCAGCGAACGGGUGAGUAACGCGUGGGGAAUCUGCCUUUGAGCGGGGGACAACAUUUGGAAACGAAUGCUAAUACCGCAUAACAACUUUAAACAUAAGUUUUAAGUUUGAAAGAUGCAAUUGCAUCACUCAAAGAUGAUCCCGCGUUGUAUUAGCUAGUUGGUGAGGUAAAGGCUCACCAAGGCGAUGAUACAUAGCCGACCUGAGAGGGUGAUCGGCCACAUUGGGACUGAGACACGGCCCAAACUCCUACGGGAGGCAGCAGUAGGGAAUCUUCGGCAAUGGACGAAAGUCUGACCGAGCAACGCCGCGUGAGUGAAGAAGGGUUUCGGAUCGUAAAACUCUGUUGGUAGAGAAGAACGUUGGUGAGAGUGGAAAGCUCAUCAAGUGACGGUAACUACCCAGAAAGGGACGGCUAACUACGUG